rnacentral:rRNA from 1 species
AUGUUAAUUGGGGGGGAUUUUAAUAUCCUUCGAUAUGAGCAGGAAAAAAACAAUGACCGGUUUGACACUAGGUGGCCUUUCCUCUUUAAUGCUGUUAUUGACAGCCUGGAUCUGAGGGAGAUCACGAUGUCUGGCCGUCAGUAUACCUGGGCCAAUAACCGAUCAGUGCCAACAUUUGAAAAACUUGACCGAGUGCUAGUUACCACCGACUGGGAAUAUAAAUACCCCCUAGCAUCGGUUCGGUUCUAG